rnacentral:rRNA from 1 species
AGAGUUUGAUCCUGGCUCAGAGCGAACGCUGGCGGCAGGCCUAAUACAUGCAAGUCGAACGCCCCUUCGGGGGAGUGGCGGACGGGUGAGUAACGCGUGGGAACGUGCCCUUUGGUACGGAACAACUGAGGGAAACUUCAGCUAAUACCGUAUGUGCCCUUCGGGGGAAAGAUUUAUCGCCAUUGGAGCGGCCCGCGUUGGAUUAGCUAGUUGGUGGGGUAAAGGCCCACCAAGGCGACGAUCCAUAGCUGGUCUGAGAGGAUGACCAGCCACACUGGGACUGAGACACGGCCCAGACUCCUACGGGAGGCAGCAGUAGGGAAUCUUGGGCAAUGGGCGAAAGCCUGACCCAGCCAUGCCGCGUGAAUGAUGAAGGUCUUAGGAUUGUAAAAUUCUUUCACCGGGGACGAUAAUGACGGUACCCGGAGAAGAAGCCCCGGCUAACUUCGUGCCAGCAGCCGCGGUAAUACGAAGGGGGCUAGCGUUGCUCGGAAUUACUGGGCGUAAAGGGCGCGUAGGCGGAUCGUUAAGUUAGAGGUGAAAGCCCAGGG